AUUGAACGCUGGCGGCAGGCUUAACACAUGCAAGUCGAGCGGAGAUGAGGUGCUUGCACCUUAUCUUAGCGGCGGACGGGUGAGUAAUGCUUAGGAAUCUGCCUAUUAGUGGGGGACAACAUUCCGAAAGGAAUGCUAAUACCGCAUACGCCCUACGGGGGAAAGCAGGGGAUCUUCGGACCUUGCGCUAAUAGAUGAGCCUAAGUCGGAUUAGCUAGUUGGUGGGGUAAAGGCCUACCAAGGCGACGAUCUGUAGCGGGUCUGAGAGGAUGAUCCGCCACACCGGGACUGAGACACGGCCCAGACUCCUACGGGAGGCAGCAGUGGGGAAUAUUGGACAAUGGGCGGAAGCCUGAUCCAGCCAUGCCGCGUGUGUGAAGAAGGCCUUUUGGUUGUAAAGCACUUUAAGCGAGGAGGAGGCUACCUGGAUUAAUACCUAGAGAUAGUGGACGUUACUCGCAGAAUAAGCACCGGCUAACUCUGUGCCAGCAGCCGCGGUAACAC
rnacentral:rRNA from 1 species